rnacentral:rRNA from 1 species
GACGAACGCUGGCGGCGUGCUUAACACAUGCAAGUCGAACGGAAAGGCCCUGCUUUUGUUGGGUGCUCGAGUGGCGAACGGGUGAGUAACACGUGAGUAACCUGCCCUUGACUUUGGGAUAACUUCAGGAAACUGGGGCUAAUACCGGAUAGGAGCUCCUGCUGCAUGGUGGGGGUUGGAAAGUUUCGGCGGUUGGGGAUGGACUCGCGGCUUAUCAGCUUGUUUGUGGGGUAGUGGCUUACCAAGGCUUUGACGGGUAGCCGGCCUGAGAGGGUGACCGGCCACAUUGGGACUGAGAUACGGACCAGACUCCUACGGGAGGCAGCAGUGGGGAAUAUUGCACAAUGGGGGGAAGCCUGAUGCAGCAACGCCGGGUGCGGGAUGACGGCCUUCGGGUUGUAAACCGCUUUCGCCUGUGACGAAGCGUGAGUGACGGUAAUGGGUAAAGAAGCACCGGCUAACUACGUG